AGAGGCAUACGGCAUGGGAAAA
rnacentral:miRNA from 11 species